CCACGUACAGCUACCUCUCCAGUUCGCUGGUCAAGGAGGUCGCGACGUUCGGUGGCGACGUGGCGGACAUGGUCCCGGAGAAGGUGCACGCGCGGCUCGUGGCGCGGCUCGCCGAGCGGGCCCAGGAGAAGGGCUGACGAAGGGCUGACGAACUCCUUCGUCCGACACACCGGCGCCGCGGCGGCGGGUGUGCGGGGUCUGGGGCAAACUGUCUUUCAGCACCAGCGAUGGCAUUCGACGAUUGGGGUUGUGCGUGUA
rnacentral:misc_RNA from 1 species